rnacentral:rRNA from 1 species
GAUGAACGCUGGCGGCGUGCCUAAUACAUGCAAGUCGAGCGAACAGACGAGGAGCUUGCUCCUCUGACGUUAGCGGCGGACGGGUGAGUAACACGUGGAUAACCUACCUAUAAGACUGGGAUAACUUCGGGAAACCGGAGCUAAUACCGGAUAAUAUAUUGAACCGCAUGGUUCAAUAGUGAAAGACGGUUUUGCUGUCACUUAUAGAUGGAUCCGCGCCGCAUCAGCUAGUUGGUAAGGUGACGGCUUACCAAGGCAACGAUGCGUAGCCGACCUGAGAGGGUGAUCGGCCACACUGGAACUGAGACACGGUCCAGACUCCUACGGGAGGCAGCAGUAGGGAAUCUUCCGCAAUGGGCGAAAGCCUGACGGAGCAACGCCGCGUGAGUGAUGAAGGUCUUCGGAUCGUAAAACUCUGUUAUUAGGGAAGAACAAAUGUGUAAGUAACUAUGCACGUCUUGACGGUACCUAAUCAGAAAGCCACGGCUAACUACGUG